CUGAGAUCAUCAACUAAAAUUCAUCCUUUAUUAUUUGUAGGCCAGUGAUUUCACAGUACGUUUGUUUUCUUCUACAUAUUGUCAGAUCUCUGUCCUCAAAAUAUUCAAGGCUUUCAG
rnacentral:pre_miRNA from 2 species